rnacentral:tRNA from 1 species
AGCCCCGGAGCCCUUUUGGGCUCUUUUUCAAACUUGCAUUUUGAUGUGAAUCACUUCCGGGCUUUG